rnacentral:rRNA from 1 species
AACGAACGCUGGCGGCAGGCUUAACACAUGCAAGUCGAGCGCCCCGCCAGGGGAGCGGCAGACGGGUGAGUAACGCGUGGGAACGUACCUUUUGGUUCGGAACAACUCCGGGAAACUGGGGCUAAUACCGGAUAAGCCCUAACGGGGAAAGAUUUAUCGCCGAAAGAUCGGCCCGCGUCUGAUUAGCUAGUUGGUGAGGUAACGGCCCACCAAGGCGACGAUCAGUAGCUGGUCUGAGAGGAUGAUCAGCCACACUGGGACUGAGACACGGCCCAGACUCCUACGGGAGGCAGCAGUGGGGAAUAUUGGACAAUGGGCGCGAGCCUGAUCCAGCCAUGCCGCGUGAGUGAUGAAGGCCUUAGGGUUGUAAAGCUCUUUUGUCCGGGAAGAUAGUGACUGUACCGGAAGAAUAAGCCCCGGCUAACUUCGUG